UACGUAGGGUCCGAGCGUUGUCCGGAAUUAUUGGGCGUAAAGGGCUCGUAGGCGGUCUGUUGCGUCGGGAGUAGAAAACGUUACAGCUUAACCUGUGAGCGUUGCUUCCGAUACGGGCAGACUUGGAGGUAUUCGAGGGGAGAACGGAAUUCCUGGUGUAGCGGUGAAAUGCGCAGAUAUCAGGAGGAACACCGGUGGCGAAGGCGGUUCUCUGGCAUUACCUGACGCUGAGGAAGCGAAAGGUGUGGGGAGCGAACAGG
rnacentral:rRNA from 1 species